rnacentral:lncRNA from 1 species
AUACAUAAUACUUGGGUCGGGUCAGACAACCCAAGUGUAAAAUGUAAAAAGAAAUGGGCUCAGAUUAUGCUAAGGCCCAAACAGCUAACUAAGCCUACAAUAUACAAAGUAUACAAUGAAUAUACAAUAAAUAUACAACCCAAUAUCAAUGUCUAUGUUUAGGCUUAGAAGCUAGAUAUGCUUGUAGCACAACACCCCCCCUCAAGUUGGAGGGGGAGACCACCUUCAACUUGAGCAGGAGAGGAUGGAGGACAGUCCCAGGCAGAGGCUUGGUGAGGAGGUCAGUAAGCUGUCGAGAAGUAUUAUACAACUCAAUAUCAAUGUCUAUGUUUAGGCUUAGAAGCUAGAUAAACUUGUAACUCAAUACCCCCCCUCAAGUUGGAGGGGGAGUCCACCUUCAACUUGAGCAGUAGAGGAUGGAGGACAGUCCCAGGCAGAGGCUUGGUGAGGAGUUCAGCAAGCUGUCGAGAAGUAGGGACAUGGGAGAUAGUAAUGAGCCCACCAGUCAACUGAUCCCUAAUAAAGUGACAAUCCACCUCAAUAUGCUUGGUCCGCUCAUGAAAAAUAGGAUUCUUGGAAAUAUGAAUGACAGUAAGUGACAAUCCACCUCAAUAUGCUUGGUCCGCUCAUGAAAAAUAGGAUUCUUGGCAAUAUGAAUGACAGUCUGGUUGUCACAAAAAACAGAGAAGGGAAGAGUAAUAGAAACCCCAAUAUCAGUAAAUAAACGAGAGAGCCAAGACAAUUCAGCUACCACUAGACUGAGUGCCCGAUAUUCUGCCUCAGCAGAAGAUAAGGAGACUACAGGUUACUUUUUGGACUUCCAACUAAUCAAACAAACACCCAAAAUAACACAAAAACCAGUAACAGAUCUGCGAGUAUCAGG